ACUGUACCUUGGCCCUGCGUCUACAGCAUACACUGGCUGCCUAGUCUUCCAACUCCACCUGAGGAAUGCAUCUUGUGAGACUGUGAGCAAGGGAUGGUGGGCAAGUGCAGUUGUGUAAGUAAAGGUGGGCAGAUGGGCUCCAACAGAUGAGGGUGUCUAGGCGGGGUUCACUGUUGGGGAGUUCCUUUGCCCUAGGACCUGCAUGGUUGAUAUCUUCUUUGUGUGCCAGUGGGCAUACUGGUGUGACCAAAAGAAAACCUGUUCUUUCAAAAAUUUGAAGACAUUUUCCUCAGUCUUCAAAUCUUGGCAGGUCUAUCAAACGAAGUCCAGAGAGUGGUUGGUAAAAUGUUUAUAUAUUCUAUUCUCUUUCAUUUUAGAACCUCAGAAAUCAGCUCUCUACUGAUGAAAAAAAUGGCUUCAUUAAAAAUCCACAAAUCCUUUGGAAGUUAGAAGCAAAAGAGGGUGUUGUGGCUUGAAUGUGAAGUGUCCCCUAUAGGCUCACAUGAUUCCAUAAGCCCCCAACUGUUUUGGGGGCUUAUGGAGUCUUGGGGGGACAGAAUCUAGCUGGAGGAAGUGGAUCUUUGUGGGGUGGGUCUUGAGGUUUCUGGUCCAGCCUUGUAUUUUGUAUCCUGUCACUGCACCAUUGUCUUCUGGUACCUGAGCAGGUAGCUGUGUACAUCUCUACAGCCAUGGAGAUGCCUGCUGCCAUGAAUUCUCUGUAGCUAUGGGCUUUAUCUCUUCAAACUCUGAGCCAGAACAAGCCUGACAUUUCUUACGGGCUUUUCCAGUGAUCUAGUUGCAGAGAUAAGAAUAAUAACUAAUAUAGACUAUGAAAGAGAGCUAUUCUUAUAAAUUCAAAUCCUAGGUGUGUAAUGUGUGCAUGUUUACCAUUGGGUCCAGUGUCUCAAGGGAUGUUCCUUAUGAAUACUUCCUAAUGGGGCUCCUAGUGAUUGCCCAGUUAUGGAGCUGCUUUUGAUAGAUGAGAAAUAAUCAUUGCAAUGAACUUCUAAUUAGAGUGAAAUUGAGCAUAUUAUAUCCUUUGCCAUUUUCUCUAUUGCACUUUUCCCUACCUCGUUUUUAAAUCUUUUCACACUCAGAAAAUUUGUCCUUUUUCUGUAAUAUAAAUGAAAAAAGUUUUUUCUCUCUCUCUUCCUUUGUCACUGAGUUUUUGAAUGACCUUAUGGCAUGUACCAGCUUGGUUUCUAUGGCUGUGAUAAAAGGCUGUAGUCAAAAGUAACUAGGGGGAAUAAACUGUUUAUUUAACCUUACAGUUUAUAGUCCAUUGGGGAAGACUAAGUAGGGACUCAAGGCAGACACCUGGAGACCAUAACUGAGGCAAGGGCUAUGGAGCAACACUGCUGACUGGCUUGCUCCCUAUGUUUGCUCAGCUUGCUUUCUUAUACAACCCAGGACUGCCUGCUCAGGAGUGGCACUGCCUAUAGUGGGGUGGUCCUUCCACAUCAAUCAUGAAUGAAGAAAACUCCCCCAGGCUUGCCUACAAGACAGUCUGAUAGGGCCUUUCUCAGUUGAGUUUCUCAAAUGACUCUAGCUUAUGUCAAGAUGGCAACAUUGUUUUGUUUUGUUUUGUUUUUCUGCCACAAAACUCUUUUAAACACUUGUUGAAAUUCACAGCAUCUCAUUGCUUGUUAGGUUUGCAGCUGCAGUUUGAGUUUAGCAUUAUUUCAUGUUGGAAAGUAUCCACCAAUUUUAAAGAUUAUUUUCUGAUCAUUGUGGAAUUCUUUAAGCUUUAGUUUGUUUUUAAUUAUGUGUAUGUGUGUUGGUUUGUGCACAUUAAAGGUGCCCAGUGAAGCCAUAGAUGGCACUGGAUCCCCUGGUUAGAAGCAGUUGUGAGUUGCCUAACAAGGGAGCUGGGAACUAAACUCUGGUCUUCAGUAAGACCAGGAAGCACUCUUAACCACUAAGUCAUUUCUCGGCCCUUUGUCUUAUUGUAAUUAAGAUCGUGAAUAUGUACUUUCUGGUGUAUGCUAUGAUGUAUGGAAUUCCACUUUAUUUUUAUCUCUCGGGCAGGCAAAACACCACUUUGUGGGGGCAAUCCAUACUCUUAACAGUGACUUCAGAAGGAUAGAAUGUCUCUCUGUCCCUUGUUUCUGAUUCUCUGCCCUUUCUGGCAUUGUUCUAAACUAUGGGUUCCAAUAUUGCAGGGUCCCAAGGUGCAAAACCCCUAAGCUCCUCCUUGGGAACUGCAAUAAUGUAUAAAACCAGGGGCAUCUUUGAAUCCAUAAUUUUUAUUGAUUAAAGGAGCUGUUGAAAUUCCUGGGUCCACUGUUUACCCCAGGAGGCAAUUUUGACCAUUGGUGGCCUGUCCAGUGGCUCUUUUCCAGACUCUGAAUAUACAUCUGCUGGUCCGGCACUGGGAAGCACUCUGACUCUAGUUCAUUAGAUCUUUAACUUUCUUCCCAUGGCUCAAUUGGUUCUUUUCUUACUUCUCUUAGAAAAGUGAGGGUUAUUCACCUCAUUCAUUGCUGACACUGAAGACUUCUCAGGGUGGGGAACAGUUGUAAAAAUAAAGAAAAUGUAUUAGAG
rnacentral:lncRNA from 1 species